rnacentral:rRNA from 3 species
UGGGGAAUAUUGCACAAUGGGGGGAACCCUGAUGCAGCGACGCCGCGUGAGCGAAGAAGGGAUUCGUUUCGUAAAGCUCUGUCCUAUGGGAAGAUAAUGACGGUACCAUAGAAGAAAGCCCCGGCUAACUACGUGCCAGCAGCCGCGGUAAUACGUAGGGGGCGAGCGUUGUCCGGAAUCACUGGGCGUAAAGGGUUCGCAGGCGGAUAAACAAGUCAAGAGUAAAAGGCAUGGGCUUAACCCAUGUAAGCUAUUGAAACUGUUUAUCUUGAGAUGUGGAGAGGUAAGUGGAAUUACUAGUGUAGCGGUGAAAUGCGUAGAUAUUAGUAGGAAUACCAGUAGCGAAGGCGACUUACUGGACACAAACUGACGCUGAGGAACGAAAGCGUGGGUAGCAAACAGG